GGCUGGAUAGCUCAGUUUGUAGAGCAUGAGACUCUUAAUCCCAAGAUUAUGGGUUUGAGCCCCACAUUAGGUG